CCUACGGGAGGCAGCAGUGAGGAAUAUUGGUCAAUGGGCGCGAGCCUGAACCAGCCAAGUCGCGUGAGGGAUGACGGUCCUACGGAUUGUAAACCUCUUUUGCCGGGGAGCAAACGUGCGUUCGUGAGCGCGCGUCCAGGUUACCCGUGGAAAAAGCAUCGGCUAACUCCUUGCCGGCAGCCGCGUGAAUACGGAGGAUGAGAGCGUUACCCGGAUUUAUGGGUUUUAAAGGGUGCGUAGGCGGGAUGCCAAGUCAGCGGGAAAAAUGCGGUUAUCAACGCCGGCGAGCCGUUGAAACUGGCGUUCUUGAGUGAGCGAGAGGUAUGCGGAAUGCGUGGUGUAGCGGUGAAAUGCAUAGAUAUCACGAAGAACUCCGAUUGCGAAGGCAGCAUACCGGAACCCUACUGACGCUGAGGCACGAAAGCGUGGGUAUCGAACAGGAUUAGAUACCCGUGUAGUC
rnacentral:rRNA from 1 species